AUUGAACGCUGGCGGCAUGCCUUACACAUGCAAGUCGAACGGCAGCACGGGUGCUUGCACCUGGUGGCGAGUGGCGAACGGGGGAGUAAUACAUCGGAACGUACCUUAUCGUGGGGGAUAACGCAGCGAAAGUUGCGCUAAUACCGCAUACGCCCUGAGGGGGAAAGCGGUGGACCGUAAGGCCUCGCGCGAUUAGAGCGGCCGAUGUCUGAUUAGUUUGGUGGUGAGGUAAAAGCUCACCAAGGCGAUGAUCAGUAGCUGGUCUGAGAGGACGAUCAGCCACACUGGGACUGAGACACGGCCCAGACUCCUACGGGAGGCAGCAGUGGGGAAUUUUGGACAAUGGGUGCAACCCUGAUCCAGCAAUGCCGCGUGAGUGAAGAAGGCCUUCGGGUUGUAAAGCUCUUUUGUCAGGGAAGAAACAGCAGCUCUAACACAGUCUGCGAAUGACGGUACCUGAAGAAUAAGCACCGGCUAACUACGUGCCAGCCGCCGCCGUAA
rnacentral:rRNA from 1 species